UACAGAGGUCCCAAGCGUUGUUCGGAUUCACUGGGCGUAAAGGGUGCGUAGGUGGCCAGGUAAGUUUGAUGUGAAAGCUCGGAGCUUAACUCCGAAAUGGCAUUGAAUACUAUCUGGCUUGAGGGUCGGAGGGGAGACUGGAAUUCUCGGUGUAGCAGUGAAAUGCGUAGAUAUCGAGAGGAACACCAGUGGCGAAGGCGAGUCUCUGGACGACAUCUGACACUGAGGCACGAAAGCUAGGGGAGCAAACAGG
rnacentral:rRNA from 1 species